rnacentral:rRNA from 1 species
GACGAACGCUGGCGGCGUGCCUAAUACAUGCAAGUAGAACGCUGAAGGAGGAGCUUGCUCUUCUGGAUGAGUUGCGAACGGGUGAGUAACGCGUAGGUAACCUGCCUGGUAGCGGGGGAUAACUAUUGGAAACGAUAGCUAAUACCGCAUAAGAGUAGAUGUUGCAUGACAUUUACUUAAAAGGUGCAAUUGCAUCACUACCAGAUGGACCUGCGUUGUAUUAGCUAGUUGGUGGGGUAACGGCUUACCAAGGCGACGAUACAUAGCCGACCUGAGAGGGUGAUCGGCCACACUGGGACUGGGACACGGCCCAGACUCCUACGGGAGGCAGCAGUAGGGAAUCUUCGGCAAUGGACGGAAGUCUGACCGAGCAACGCCGCGUGAGUGAAGAAGGUUUUCGGAUCGUAAAGCUCUGUUGUAAGAGAAGAACGAGUGUGAGAGUGGAAAGUUCACACUGUGACGGUAUCUUACCAGAAAGGGACGGCUAACUACGUG